UAGUGUCUCCUCCCUGUUCACAUGUAGCCCUUUUGGCAGUGCGAUUUCUUUUUGUGUCUGAGUGGAAAACUACAAGAGACAACACAGUUUUAUUCGGAGCCUUAAUCCAGUUGCUCUUUGGAGGUGUUGCAGAUAUAUGAACCAAGCUGCUCACAGGUUUGUUCCUGUCUAUCUUCUCCCCAUUCAAGAAGUUGAUUUGCAGGGAAAUGACAGGUCCACUGCUCCAAACCGCCAGGACUGCUAGAAUCUUUGGUUUUCUGCUGUUAGCCAUCCUUGGUUUCAUUUGCUUAUAUUUAAGAUAUUUAAGGUUCACUGUCGCAAUGAUGAAUCUGCCAAUUGCUACAGAACCUGAACCAAGACACAAGAUUAAUUUUGAU